GGCCCCGUGGCGGAAGUGGUAGACGCAGCAGACUUAAAAUCUGUGUCCUAACAGGAGUGCCGGUUCAAGUCCGGCCGGGGCCACCA
rnacentral:tRNA from 1 species